GAGAAGUGAUUGCCGAGGGAAGAGCCCCCCAGAUCCGCUUGUUCUCCACCUAAGUAGAAGCCUCCUUGGACCAUGUCUACGACCUCCCACCUAGACUUAGGAGUGUAGUCUAACACGUCUCUCAUCCUCAAACUCCUGAGGCAGGAUUGCUGACUGCCAGUCCACCUCCUUCCAGGUGGCCCCUCAGCCAGGCUUAGGCUUGUGUCCAAGGAACUCUCACCUGCUGACCAUACUGAUAAACUUGGGCCAGGUGUUCUUUGUCCAAGCCUAUAAAUACCUAAAGCAUAUAUAACGUUGUGUAUUAGGAGUAAAGGGAGGGUGUAUGUAGAUUUUUCAGGAGAAAGAAGCUGUAAUUACCAACACAUUCUUAAUAGAAAGCAUGACCCUCAAGUAAUCACUGGCCCAGAAGAUCUAUGUUUAUAUUUAUUCUAAAUAACAAAAUCUUUAUUUUAAUAAUGAAAUUAAUAUAAUCAGUUAAUGCAAUGAAUAGUCAAACAGUACAAACAAUGCAGAAAUGUAUUCAUUUAUCCAUUUAAUGUCUUUAUUGAGUACCUAUACAAGGUGCUAAGAAUACAAUGGUGAGAAAAACAGAUGAAGUCUUUGCAUUUAUGAAACUCACAGACUAGUAGGGGAUAUACAUUAAUCAAAUAAUCACACAAGUGCAUGUAAAAUUAAAAUUUCAUGUAAGUGCUAAGAAAUAACAGGACACAGAUAUAUAGGAGUAUAUAGCAGAAGAUCAAGACAUUCUGAGGGGGCAAAAAGGGGACAUAAAAAAAUUCCUCAAGGAAGUGAAAUUUGGGCUAAAAUAAGGAAAAGUGUAGUUAACUAGGCAAAGACUAUAUAAAUGUCUGUACCCUUACUGUUACAGAAUACCUUUCUAAUUCACUGUGGUGUAUCCUUCUAGCUGGUUUACUAUCCGCAUAGAAAUAGGUAUGUGUGUAUAUAUGUAUGUAUUUAAGUGUAAUUGGAAUAAAUCUCAAUCCACAAACGCAAGUGUGUAAGGCAUCCAACUUUUAUUUUCCACAGCAAUUCUCAUAAUUUCCAUUUUUGUCUUCUCAUUCCAUGGAGUGACUGAAACAUUACCAGUUCAAAAUCUACUGUUUUUUCCAUGGUGUGUCUAAGUUCAAGGAUGCUUAUACAGUGCCUUAGAGUUGUUGCAAGGAAGGAGUCCACGUGGUUCUAGAACUGUUCUACACAAAUCCCCAUUUUCAUUCCCUCCCUGAGGCCCCUUCAGACAUGAUGGCUCUCUAUUUGCUUCUGUGUCUUCCUUGAAUAAUCAAGACUUUCUCUGCUAUUCCUCUCCAUUGCCAUGGUGAGAUAUAGAAAGCUUGGUAAGACCCUAUUUUAUCUAACUGGAAGAAAUAUAAAUCAGCCGUCCCCCGCCCAGAUGUCUUUUAAAAAAUAUAAGUCACCUACACAACCCAACAAACAUAUCUGAGGAAUCUCCAAGUCAAUGGCAGACUGAACUGACUUGGAACUGACCCCUUCUACUUAAAAAUCACUUAAAACUCACAGAAAUGAUAAAAUAUGCAACCCCUCUAAAAGUAGUGGUAUAGUCAAGCUCAUAAUCAUGAAAUGGAAAUCCCCGAGAAACAAAGAAAGAACGAACAAUAGUAAGCAGGAGAUAAAGACAGAUAGAUGGAUAUUGGCUUUAAGGACUGAGUAAUAGGGUUUUAAUCCCACAUGGCAACAGGAGGCAAUGCCUCUAGGCAGUGGAAGACGGAAAGCUGGUACUGAGCUCCUGUCUAAAUCCAGAUCCCAUAGAAGCACUACCACUACAUAAAAUGAGGACUAAACUUUUUCUUACAGCAAAGAUAUAUAACAAGAAAGCUUGUCAUUUACAUGAGGUUAUGAGUGGGUAAAAAGACCCCGGGAGCAAUCAGAAGCCAGGUCUGCUCCACCCGUAAGUGUGGGGUUGAAUUCAGAGUUCCUACAUGUUAGAGAACCACAGGGACAUAAACUAACAUAAAAAUUAAUCUGCAACUGGUUCAACUUGUAUGGCCCUAGCAGAGGUAAUCUCAAAAGCAAAGAGAUAAUUAAGAUACUCAAAAAUAGAUCUCAAGGAAAAUCCUCCAGAAUGCAGCACACACACAAAAAGGUACAAAAUAUGAAUGGAAGAAGUCCUAAUAAAUAAAGACUAAAGAGAAAAAGUAAAAGGGAAUAUUUGAAUAGAUUAUGGCACAGAAUUUUCAACUGAAGCAAGACAUUAAUCCUCACAUUAAACAUAUUGACUUUUGAGUAGAUAGAAUACAAAUAAAACCAUAACUAGACACAUCUUAGUAUAGAGCAUCAAAUAUACCUAGCAUGAUACUCUCAUGUGUUUGGGCUUUGGGAAAUCACAAAGUCCUUUCAUAAACCUUUCCUGAAGAAAAGAAUAGGGGAAAAAGAAAAGUGAGAAAUAUUGUGGGAGAAAAAAAAAAGAAUAUAAGUUUAUAUCUAAAACAUAGUAUUCUAUCAUAUAUGCAUUAUAUAAAUAUGUAUAUAUUUGUCAUCUCCAGUGCAAUAUUAAACCUCUAUUUUAAGAAUAAAUAGGAAACCAUCUUCAAGGAAAGUAGGAAAUUGCACUCUUUCCAGGAUUCCAAUUAGAGAGUAAAUGGAAAUAUUCAAUAGUUUUUGGUGUCCAUCAUCCCAAUCCUUAGUAAAUUAUUGUAUAUAUAUUUUUUUCAUUCUGACAAUUCAGAGGUUUCCUUCAGAGACAUAAGUAGGAUAAGCCCACUGAGAAAUGGUAUCAGCUGUUAGUUAAGCCACAGUCUCUACACAGCUUAUUUGUUUGCACUCUGUUUUCUCUUGGGCACUAAAUUCUGAGCACAGCUCUUUUAAGCUGCAACUAAAGUAAUCAACAUACAACACAAUACAAUACAAUAAUGGUAGCUGCAAUACUGUGUUAUGAAAUACUUAUCUGGAAGAAGUAGGGGAGACAAAGUGAGAAAACAAAUGAAUUAUGGGUAGCAGUCUAAAGAAUCUUUCUGAGAAAUCUUUAAUCUACCACUUAGGUAAGCAUCACUAGGUAUGUCUAAGAAACAACGUUUGAAGAAAACGCACAUGUAGUGAAGAAUAAAUGCAGAAUCAUAAAAUUUAUUUCAAUCAAAUCCAAGUCCUACCUCCAAGGGAUAUCUCCCAGAAGACCUUCCUUGGAGUUUUCUAUUCUCGAAAUUUCUCCAGUCCCUUGUAUUGUUUACAUAGAUGACUAUUCAUAUUCACUGUAUGUGCACUUCAAAACUUAUCGCCCAUUGAAAUAGAUCUGUUUAAGGAGUCAGAUAUAAUCUUCAGCAAAAUAAGUAAUAACAGCACUGAAAGGAAUACAAUUAAAGCAGAAAAAUAAUUUCUGGGAUUGGAAAACAUGAUUUCCAAGCUUAAAAACUCAGAUUAAAUAGGAAAGGAAAUACAAUCUAAAAAGGAGAGAAUUUAUAGUCACAUCUUAACAAAAUAAAAUUAUAAAUAAAUAAUAAAAGAUCAUCAUUAAAUGUAACUGCCUGAUAAUAUAGCACUGUUCUCCAAAAUAACCCCUGGAUCAAAGAGGAAAUUAAAAAUAAAACUGCAAGCUAUAAGGAAAGCAAAGAAAAGAAGAAUAUAUCACAUCAAAGUUUAUGGCGCAUGACUAAAGGUAUACUUAGAGAAAAUAAAUAGUCUUAAUUACCAUUAUUAUCCAAGAAGACCGUAAAUAAAAGAAAUAAUCCCUCUUCUUCAAAAACUAGAAAAGUACAACAGAACAAAUCCAAAGAUAGAAGAAAUUAGCAAAGUUAAAAAUAAUGACCAGAAAAAGGCAUUGUAGAAUUCAUAAAUAAAAGGCUAGUUCUUUGAAAAGACCAGUAAAAUAAACAUACUCUUCAUGAGUACAACUAUGUAAUAACAGAAGAAAAACAAAAGUGUAUAUAUAUUUAUGAAGGGAACCAGGAUCAAAUGGCUUUGCAGGAGUUCCCGUCGUGGCGCAGUGGUUAACGAAUCCGACUAGGAACCAUGAGGUUGCGGGUUCGGUCCCGGCGCUUGCUCAGUGGGUUAACGAUCCAGCGUUGCCGUGAGCUGUGGCGUAGGUUGCAGACUCGGCUCGGAUCUCGCGUUGCUGUGGCUCUGGCGUAGGCCGGUGGCUACAGCUCCGAUUAGACCCCUAGCCUGGGAACCUCCAUAUGCUGCGGGAGCAGCCCAAAGAAAUAGCAAAAAGGCAAAAAAAAAAAAAAAAAAAAA
rnacentral:lncRNA from 1 species